rnacentral:sRNA from 1 species
ACUAAUUAAAACCAUUAGGGGCGGGAUCUCCUGCCCUCUCGAUUGAUACGAAGCACGGACAGACUAUACGGUGAAGGGUCGUUCCCCCUUCAGCGCGAAUAUUACAGCUUCUUAUUAAUCUUCGAGGGUAGCGCUGCUACCCUUUUUUUUCAGA